rnacentral:lncRNA from 7 species
GGGAAACUUCAACAUGAAAUUCAUCUGCCACUGCACAUCCCAGGCAUGAAGCACAGCCCUCACCAUUUGUUACUUUGGUUAUUUGAAAUCAGAAUUUCUGAAAUUUGUUUUCUUCUUUGACGUCCAUUUUUGUCUUCAUUAUGUUGGUGCAAAUGCAAAGAGGAAUGGGCUUACCUGUGUCUGCUGGAAAAAGAUCAAAAAAGCAAAACUCUUCUGCAAAGGUAGCUGACUUGCAAAGCUGCAGCAGGUUGACAAUGUGUCUGAAACAUCUAUUCAACGUGAAAAUAUAAGCUAUGUCAUGCUUCUCUGUGGCAAGGAUGUGCACUAAAGAAGGUCCAUGGACCAGCUAUCUCAAGACAGGGCAUUCCUCACCAAAGAACUCAGGUGACUUUGGAGUUUAUAAUGAUCGUUCAACAUUAAAAACAUUUAGGUCUUGUGAUCUCGGAGGAGAUGAAAAGCAACAGAUAAAACUGCAUUCCAGUUUCCCUGAUGGCCCACAAGGCAAAGUCAGCUAAGAGGAAAAAGAAGCAAGUUCACGUGCUUUUUGGGUAAGAACAAAGGAGAAGAGAUCUCCAACUUGCUCUGAAGGUGAGAAGGAACCAAGAGAGAGCCUUCUCUGAGUGGAAGCCAGGCAGAGAGCUCUCACAAGACAGUGCUUGGCAGAUGCAAUCAAUCACCAUUCCAGCAUGUGCAGCUCCGGACUACAUGGCACAACUUCCACUUGCCCAGUGGGGAUGGGAAGACAUAUAGGAAACAAAGGAUUAUGAUAUUCUAGGUAGGAACGGAGACAAAAGAGAGGCCCAAAGAUGAUGAGAACUGUUCAGAUCUGCCCUGCCAUCUCUCAUUAUACAGAAUCAUGUUCUUCUUUCAUCCAUGUUGUCCAGCAGACUUCAUAGCUGGUUUUCUCAAUUACUUGUACAAGACUCUGUCUAUAGCUACAUAUUACCACUACUGCAGACAGACUUCUAGCUAGGAAGAACAAGAAAGACAUAAUCCAACUGGAACAUCUUCUAUAAAGAAUCCGGAAUAUAUUGGCUAGGAAGAGCAAUCCUUUCCUGUGCAAGCAGGUAGUCUGUGGGGAGGAAAAGGCAGCCUGAGUUAUGCUUUUGUGUUUGUCUGGUUUUGACUACUUGAAGUCUUCUGGGGUAUGUGAAAUCACUGUAAAGACUGAGCACCCUGUGACUGCCAGGUAUGAUGUGACAAUUACUUCCCAUCAGUAGCAGAAACCGAUUGAGAUAAUGAUAUCAGUUGCUUUUUUUAAAAAAAUCAAACAUCUUUGAAGAGUAGUUAGACUGAAAUGAUCAACACAGAAGUGCAACAUAUUGGAUGAGGAAUGCCUUAUUUAAUAUAGGUUUUAAAAACAGGGCACUUUCUGUAGAUGCCACUUCUAAAACAUUUGACAAGAACCUUCAGCCGUUCCAGCUCUGAAGGGAGUGACAAGCCAUGCCCUGUAAGGUUAUCCACAGAGGUAAUUUCCUGUAAUUCUGCAAGCUCACUCAAAUCAAUAAACUGUAUAUAUGUAUUUAAAUGUUUGCAAGGUCAAGAACUUAACACCUAACAUACCUGCUUCAGAGGGGUCACAGUAAGUCCUUUUUAUUUAGGAAACAGCUGAUAAAACUAAGUCUUUUACCCACUCUUAACAUGGUAUCUCCAUUUUUUUCAACUCUGUGGCAUUAAUUUUUUGAAGACUAUAAAAUGACAAAUGAUAACAGUCAAGUUAUGGGCACAUACCUGUAGCCUUACUGGAGAAAUUAUGUUUUGAACAGUAUAUAAAUUAAGACAGUAUUUUCCAGAGGACUAAAUGGAGAGUAACUUGACGUUUCUGUUAUGGAUGCACUGAACUUGAGACACUAGCAAUUUUAUAAGGUUUUGUAAGCACAUUGUAUGUUAUGGAGGCCCAAUGAGACUGCUGAGAAGAACUGCUCCUUUUGCCUCAAUGCUGCCACUAAACCCAUGCAGCAGUUUUUGCAGGUGAUAUGGUCUCUGCAGAAUGUAAGGAUCAUUAUGUUUUGUGCUCAUCUGCACAGGUGUUGCAGCAAUACUUCAUAGUUCAGUGCAACCACUGUCCAAAAGGUCCAAAUUGAGGGCUUGAAUUAGGCGAUUCGAUGGUGGUGCUGCUUGUGCACAGUGGCACAAGGCUCCAUCUAUAUAUUUUUAAAAUUGUCGUUGAGCCUUUCCUUACGUACUUUCUUCUACAGUGUCUCUAGAGUUUUCUGUUGUCACCCGAAGAACUUUUUUUUUUUUUUCUGAGUUUCCUCAGACUGGAAUAAACGGGUUUUUUUCCUUCUUUGAUUAAAUAAAGCAUUUCCACUGC